rfam:Gossypium raimondii Chr07_contig_1439, whole genome shotgun sequence.
UGUUAAAAAUUUCAUCUAUUUUUAUUAUUAAAAAUUGGUAUAGCUGACAGAAUAACCAAGAACUACACGCAAGGUGCUCGUAUACUUCAUGCAAAUGUAUAUGAACCAAAUUUUAACAGUUAAAAUAGAUAAAAAUUUUAACA